ensembl:misc_RNA Metazoa_SRP Metazoan signal recognition particle RNA
GCCGGGCGUGGUGGCGGGCGCCUGUAGUCCCAGCUACUCGGAGGCUGAGGCGGGAGAAUGGCGUGAACCCGGGAGGUGGAGUUUGCAGUGAGCCGAGAUCGCGAAGCCACUGCACGCCAGCCUGGGUGACACAGCAAGACUCCGUCUCAA